rnacentral:rRNA from 1 species
UACGUAGGUGGCAAGCGUUGUCCGGAUUCACUGGGCGUAAAGCGCGCGCAGGCGGUCUUCUACGUCUGGGGUGAAAACCCGGGGCUCAACCCCGGGACUGCCUUGGACUACGGGAAGAGCUUGAGGAUCGGAGAGGCAAGGGGAAUUCCACGUGUAGCGGUGAAAUGCGUAGAGAUGUGGAGGAACACCUGUGGCGAAGGCGCCUUGCUGGCCGAUUUCUGACGCUGAGGCGCGAAAGCGUGGGGAGCAAACAGG